AUGGCGAGGAUACCGACGCUCGUCGCGUUUGCCGUCCGCCGCGCGGCCACCGCCACCACCGCCGCGGGGAAGGCCAUCUGGGACGCCAAGGGGGUUCUCAUCGUGGGGGGCGCCGCGGUCGCCGCCUGGGUCUACCGUGCCGAUCUUGGUCGCCUCGCCGACCAUCUGUUUUCACAGGGCCGCACCCACACUCCAGAGGAUAGGGAUCAGAGGGUGAGGGCAAAGCGAGCGGCCAACAAAGGGGCCCGGAAGGUGGUGCGGGACGCGCACGGACUAUACUCAAAGAACCACGGCCGGGCGGGCGGACACUGA
rnacentral:rRNA from 1 species